rnacentral:rRNA from 1 species
GGCAGCGACCUAAGGUAGGGUCAGCGAUUGGGGUGAAGUCGUAACAAGGUAGCCGUAGGAGAACCUGCGGCUGGAUCACCUCCUUUCUA